rnacentral:tRNA from 1 species
GUCCCUGUAGAGCAAUGGAUAGCGCGUUGGACUUCUUAUCCAAAGGUCGUGGGUUCGAAUCCCAUCUGGGAUG